rnacentral:rRNA from 1 species
GACGAACGCUGGCGGCGUGCUUAACACAUGCAAGUCGAGCGAGAAACUUCGGUUUCUAGCGGCGGACGGGUGAGUAACACGUGGGCAACCUGCCUCACAAUGGGGGAUAGCCUUCCGAAAGGAAGAUUAAUACCGCAUAACACAAAGGAAACGCAUGUUUCUUUUGACAAAGAAUUUCGUUGUGAGAUGGGCCCGCGGCGCAUUAGCUUGUUGGUGAGGUAACGGCUAACCAAGGCGACGAUGCGUAGCCGACCUGAGAGGGUGAUCGGCCACAUUUACGCUGAUACACGGUCCAGACUCCUACGGGAGGCAGCAGUGGGGAAUAUUGAACAAUGGAGGAAACUCUGAUGCAGCAACGCCGCGUGAGUGAUGAAGGUCGUCGGAUUGUAAAGCUCUGUCUUCUGGGACGAUAAUGACGGUACCAGAGGAGGAAGCCACGGCUAACUACGUGCCAGCAGCCGCCGUAA